CCGACUAGAGGGGGGGUUAAUAGGCGGUUUUAAGCUAAAGCAUAAAACUUAAUAAACUUUCAUUAGAAACCCACAAGAUAAGCAACAACUAGUAAAUCUACUACUAGGUAUGUCAAGACGAGCUAGGAUGACAAGUAAUUAAAACAAGAUAGAUGAAAGCAUUCACUUGAAGUAAGUACUACUACGAAGGUAGAGAGCAAGAAGACAACCGAGAGAGAGAGACCGAUGUUUUCCCGUGGUGUCGAUGACUUGCCGGUCACCCCUAAUCCACGUUGAGGUGGAUUCAAUGAUUAAAUCGCUUCUCUAUCAAGACACCGC
rnacentral:lncRNA from 1 species